rnacentral:misc_RNA from 1 species
GAAACCCUGGUAAAACCUCUGCAGAAGCAGGCGAAAAGAAAGCAAGGAGAAUGAAUAGUCCAAAUCCAGUCCACGACGAAGAUGAUCAUGAUGAAGGCGAGGUUUUCCUCGACGAGUCUGAUAUCAUCCGCGAAGUUACCGUCGACGACGAAGAUCUUCCCGAUGCGGACGAUUAUGGUGGCUCUGAUGAUGAAAUUGCUGAAGGAAUUGAUGACUCUAUGCACAUAUUCACUGGUCAUACUGGUGAACUCUAUACCGUUGCCUGCAGUCCAACGGAUCCUACAUUAGUGGCAACUGGGGGCCAGGAUGACAAAGGGUUUCUUUGGAAGAUUGGUCUAGGAGAUUGGGCUUCUGAACUCCAGGGUCACACUGAUUCUGUAUCUAGUUUAGCCUUUAGUACGGAUGGACUGUUGCUUGCAUCUGGGGGGAUG